AACGAACGCUGGCGGCGCGUCUUAAACAUGCAAGUCGAACGAUCUGUAGCAAUACAGGGAGUGGCGGACGGGUGAGGAACACGUAGGAAUCUACCUGGAAGAGCGGGACAACUUUGGGAAACCGGGGCGUAAUACCGCAUAGUGUCGAGAGACUAAAGGGACUAGCAAUAGUCGCUUCCAGAUGAGCCUGCGGUCUAUCAGCUUGUUGGUGAGGUAAUGGCUCACCAAGGCAACGACGGAUAGCCGGUCUGAGAGGAUGAUCGGCCACACUGGCACUGAGACACGGGCCAGACUCCUACGGGAGGCAGCAGUUAAGAAUCUUGCGCAAUGGGGGCGAACCCUGACGCAGCGACGCCGCGUGAAGGAUGAAGGCUUUCGGGUUGUAAACUUCGGUAGACUGGGAAGAAGAACUACGUUCGUUGAGGGCGUAGAGUGACGGUACCAGUCUGAAGCCCCGGGCUAAUUACGUGCCAGCAGCCGCGGUAAGUCGUGUGACA
rnacentral:rRNA from 1 species